GAUCGAGUCUCGUGACAGCACGAUGUCCUAAAGUGAAAUUGCCCGUCAAUAAUUGCCGUGACCUCCGUGAACAAUCACUCCCAGGAUACAACGAUCGUAAAUCACUUAUGCAGCAAUCACGAAUGGUUUUUCUAGAACUCUCAAUUGUACUCCAGAAUAGGUAUAAAAACCCGAAUAUAAGAAAUUCACAAUAUGAAAAGAGUGAUUGAUUCUAUUUUCUUUUUGUGUGUCUUUUCCCAAAGCAAGAUAUGAGUUUAUAUAGGCAAGAUGGUAGUAACAGUCUUCAC
rnacentral:lncRNA from 1 species